rnacentral:rRNA from 1 species
UACGUAGGGUGCAAGCGUUGCCCGGAUUUAUUGGGCGUAAAGGGCGCGUAGGCGGCUCGGCACGUCCGUUGUGAAAUCGCCCGGCUCAACUGGGCGGGGUCAGCGGAUACGGCCGAGCUUGAGCAAGCUAGGGGGCAAUGGAAUUCCCGGUGUAGUGGUGGAAUGCGUAGAUAUCGGGAGGAACACCAGUGGCGAAGGCGGUUGCCUGGGUCUUUGCUGACGCUGAUGCGCGAAAGCGUGGGGAGCGAUCCGG